AGGACGAACGCUGGCGGCGUGCUUAACACAUGCAAGUCGAGCGGUAAGGCCUCCUUCGGGGGGUACACGAGCGGCGAACGGGUGAGUAACACGUGGGUGACCUGCCCUCAGCUCUGGGAUAAGCCUGGGAAAACCGGGUCUAAUACCGGAUAGGACUGCUUGCCGCAUGGUGGGUGGUGGAAAGUUUUUUCGGCUGGGGAUGGGCCCGCGGCCUAUCAGCUUGUUGGUGGGGUGAUGGCCUACCAAGGCGGUG
rnacentral:rRNA from 1 species